AGAAACAGACGAAGACUCUGGCGAUGAGGAAAGGCAUAGAUUACCAGAAAUUAAUUCUGACACCGAAGAAGACUCAUCGGAUGAUUCCGAUUACGAGCCUUAGUUUUAAUUUCUUCGGAUGUAAUACAUUAAUUUAUAAUAAAAAAGAUUGUGUAUUACCUUAAUUUCUAGUUUACAUAUGUUGAAUUCAUAUUUCUGUUAUUUUAUAUGAAUUUUGGUGAUAUAUGAACAGGAAAUUAGUAUGGUUUAAACCUGCUGUUUUAGGGUUUGUAUUUUUUUACUUAAGCCGACGAAAUACAACAUAAUUCGUUGGCCUAAACCAUCUUAGCCGACGAAUUAUAUUAAAAGUCGUCGGCUAAACCAGUCUUAGCCGACGAAAAAAUACUUGAAGUCGUCGCCUAAAAGAACUUAUAGCCGACGAAAUACACUAAUAUUUCGUCGGCUUUAUUAAUUUUUUUUAUUUAUUAUUACAUACUAUAGCCGACGAAAAAUACUAGACAUCGUCGGCUAAAAUAACUUAUAGCCGACGAAAUACCCUAAUAUUUCGUCGGCUAAAACCUAAACUUUUUCUGUUACAUACUAUAGCCCUAUCUUCGGUGGUUAUUUUGCGUAAAAUUUUUAUACGACUUAUUGUGUGUCAUCGAUUUGAAAAUAUUUUCAGUUGAAGGUCCGGCCAAAAUACGAAAUUUUGACGGUCCAACGACCUUUUCCGUGCAUUUAGGGGUUUGACUUACGGGAUUGACCGUCCGGAUCGAGCACUUAACCUUGUCAGAUCAAAUUGAAUUUUUUCCCAUACAUGUAUUUUAUCAUGAUGGUCAGAUCUGACCGUCGGAUUUCCUUUUCUCAAGUUUGAUCAUCACAAUCACAACAUGCUUACUAAUGUUGUAUAACUUGUUUACCAAGUGUUAAGUAAAUGUUCCGUUUCAAAAACAAACUAUACGUAGAACCUUCAAACGUAAAAAAAGUCGUGAAAUAAGAC
rnacentral:lncRNA from 1 species